rnacentral:rRNA from 1 species
GACGAACGCUGGCGGCGUGCUUAACACAUGCAAGUCGAACGGUGAAGCGCCUUCCUUUUUGGUGGGUGUGGAUGAGUGGCGAACGGGUGAGUAACACGUGAGUAACCUGCCCCCUUCUUCUGGAUAACCGCAUGAAAGUGUGGCUAAUACGGGAUAUUCUGGGUCUGUCGCAUGAUGGGUCUGGGAAAGAUAUUGUUUCGGUGGGGGAUGGGCUCGCGGCCUAUCAGCUUGUUGGUGGGGUGAUGGCCUACCAAGGCGGUGACGGGUAGCCGGCCUGAGAGGGUGGACGGUCACACUGGGACUGAGACACGGCCCAGACUCCUACGGGAGGCAGCAGUGGGGAAUAUUGCACAAUGGGAGCAAGCCUGAUGCAGCGACGCCGCGGGAGGGAUGGAGGCCUUCGGGUUGUGAACCUCUUUCGCCAGUGAAGCAGGCCUGCCUCGUUUGUGGGUGGGUUGACGGUAGCUGGAGAAGAAGCGCCGGCUAACUACGUG